rnacentral:rRNA from 1 species
AUUGAACGCUGGCGGCAGGCCUAACACAUGCAAGUCGAGCGAGAGGGGGACGGGUGAGAAAUGUAUGGGGGAUGCCCGAGAGAGGGGGGGAAAUCCUGGAAACGGUGGAUAAUACAGCAUACUGUCGGAUAACCCAUAUGGGAGUAGCUAGUAGGUAAGGUAAUGGCUUACCUAGGCGACGAUCCCUAGCUGGUCUGUGAGGAUGAUCAGCCACACUGGGACUGAGACACGGCCCAGACUCCUACGGAGGCAGCAGUGGGGAAUAUUGCACAAUGGGCGCAAGCCUGAUGCAGCCAUGCCGCGUGUAUGAAGAAGGCCCUAGGGUUGUAAAGUACUUUCAGUCGGGAGGCGUUACCGACAGAAGAAGCACCGGCUAACUCCGUGCCAGCCGCCGCGGUAAUAC